rnacentral:lncRNA from 1 species
AUUAAUAUUCACACUCUUGCUACAGGGGAGAUUUGCUGGGACCAUUGGUAUGCAGAAUAUCUCCUAAGGACUUAGAACUAUGAUAGGGGAGCCAAGUGCUGGAAGGCUAGAGAAGGAAGCUGGGAGAUAAUGCCCAGUGUAAAAGGUGGACUAUGAAGACGGAAUAGAGUAAUAAAUAUGGAAGUGAGACACUCAGGGAGAAAAGAUUCUGGACAUGGGGCAGAACGCUCAAUGGAAGACAGAGAGAAAUGGGGCUAACAAACAAGAGUGAGGAAGACCACCACCUCAAGCCUACCAACUCUGAAGUGCCUGAUGCUCAAGAUACAUUCCACCAAUCAGAAGAGAUCAGAUGUAAACUUUCAGCUACUGUUCUGAUGCCAAGCUUGUCUGCCUGUUACCAUGCUCCUCAUCAUGAUGAACGUGAACUCAUUCUCUGAAACCGCUCCCAAAGCAGGCAGCAGACUGCAACCAUGAAGGCUCUUGGUGCCCUCUGGAGGAAUGUUCAGGCAUUGCAGAAGCCCAGCCAGAAUGGAGACUUGUUUUUUGUUCAGCUCACUUAAGAGACCCAAUGAAAGCAGAAUCAUAG